UUUUCAGGUGCAACCAGUUGAGAGCAAAUCAAACAAAGAUUGACAGGGUCAGCUGCAAGAGAAUAUGGGAGUGGAUCUUUCAUUUCUAGUUCUGAUUGACAUUGUAAAGGAGGAGAACAUGAAAUGAUGCAGUUAAUUCCAAAUCAUAAACUUCUUUAAUUUCUGUUUAUUUUAUAUUAUAUAUUGCCAGAGAUAGUCAGUGAUUAGACUUGAAUGAAUAAGCGUAGAUUGGAACCGCAUCAUUAAGGUUAGACCAGCUUAGGUACAUAAAAUGACGCAGCCAUGCUCAUUGCCAAGGACUGAUGAAGCGGUGGCAUCUAGCACAAGGUCCGUUUCUCUCCAUGAGCUUAGCUCGUCGUCGAAAAUUGGUAAAGCAGUGAACUUUGCCCUCAAGAUCUGUAAUGCUGAAAGUUUGCCUAAAAUCUUUCAAAGGCACCAUAAGAAAGGCAUAACGAGUAUCUUAGGAGGAAUUUCACAGUGAAAUUGACGAAAGCGUAAAAGACAACAGAUUUGGGAAAGAUCUCUUCAAGUGCACCCCAAUCCCAAACAACAUCCAGAAUAAUGAAUGAACCCACGGAAGAAGAGUUUUAGUCCAAUAUCAGGCAAGAUGGUAUCUUCCUCGCUAUACUACAAAUACCUGAGGAUAUCUUAACUUCAUCUAUAUGCAAUGCUUAAAAAGCAGCUCUGCGUCAAGAGAAUAUCCCCAGGCUUGGACUAAGGCUACAGAAACCUGAAAGACCCAUCCACAUUAGUACGAAGUACUUUUAGUCUACCAGUCUUACCACUAUCCUAUUCGAAAUUUAAGAAAGGUAAGGAAAGAUAGCUAUAUACGCCUAAAUCUACCCAUAGACAGCUUCUCGAGGAAGCAACACGCUUACUCUAAGGGUCAGUUUGUCAAUACAGUACUGCAUUAUUUAGUCGGAUGCAUCGAAAAAGAUAUUGCCACGAAGGAGAACACGCUUGGUACCUCGACAUAGAAGGAACUUUUAGAAGCAUCCUUUCACAAUAGAGUCUCUUCGAGAAGCGUAUUGGAAGUCUUGUAGAGUCUCUCCUAAGAAACAGGAGCAUUUUCGUAGAGAUGGCUAGCGCUCGGACCAGACCAGAUACACAUCAACACUGAUGAUUAGAAAAUUAAACAGCACAGGCUGUCGUGGACUGGGUACAGAGACACAGUGGCAUUCCAGGCAAUCGCAUUACCGACCAAUCUGGGAAGAAAAUCAAUCCUUCCAUCUACAAUAAACAUGCACACCGUGCGGGCAGAAGGAAACUCUAGAUAGCUGAAUGAGAUCACGUGCAACAGAAGCAGAUGGUUGGCAAAAUUGUCCGCAAAAAAAAAAAAAAAUCAAUGCAUCGUAUGCUUCUGAAUCGGUUCUUCACUAGAAUAAUAACAGGCGUAUUAACAGUUGUAAGGGCAAAGAGAAGAAAGAGUCUAUGGAGCACUAAAUCUACUACUAUUCAGCCUUGUCAUCAGCGCAACACAAGUUCCUUUAGAAACACUCUUUUGACUGUCUUGCUGAGAAGGUGAAAAGAGGAGCUUCACAGCGCUAUCACGAUCGGUCUAUUGGCCUAAGAACGUUGGUCACUGAACAACAGUCACAUCAAAUGAAUUCAAAUCAUCUAUAAAAACUUGUUUCAGCACUUCUUACCUCUAUUUCCCUAAGUAUUGGUUUCAUAUAUGUAUAUUUCAUUAUCAAACAUAUUAUUUACCUAUGCUUAUUGCUGAUGCGUUUUGCGACGUUCUUAAAUAAACUUCCGCAUUGAAGAGAGUCUGUCACGCUGCCGUCCAUAGCACAAUAAAAGCAAGUGUCGCUAGCGCGAAACAUUGUUUAGUACAAGCUAUAAAUUUGCAAUUUUUCAUCGGCUUGUUUCAGAUGUAAUGAAUGCGUUUUUGUAUUUUUACAAGCAACAAGUGAUACAUUUUCGUUAAAAUCUGAAGCGUGAUCUCACUGGGUGGCAGGUGGAUGACAAAUUACCAUCGCAGCGAUUCGAACAAUGCAAGCGUGAGGCAAAAAGGUAUACUCGUACGCUUUCGUGAUUUGUGGGAUAAUAUUUAAUACACAGGCAGAUUAAAUUAUCCUCAUAUAAAUAUAAAUAUAAGCGCACAAAUACAUACAUACAUAUAAACAAUUGCAGUGUGCAUGUGUAGGUGCAUGGCAAGUGCAAAUUCGAAAACAAAUGCAAAUAAUUGCAAAAUUUAUGUUUUACAAACAAAGUAGCUGCAAACAAUGAACGACUCGGCUCACUAAUUUCUAAAUCAUUGAACCGUAAAUUGUCGUCGCAACGGUGAAUGCGUUAAACGCGCGUGUCGUAAUUACAAAGAAAAUUAGAAAAAUAAUGAAAAGAAAAAGAAA